GAUGAACGCUGGCGGCGUGCUUAACACAUGCAAGUCGAACGGAAAGGCUCCUGCUUGCAGGGGUACUCGAGUGGCGAACGGGUGAGUAACACGUGGGUGAUCUGCCCUGCACUUCGGGAUAAGCCUGGGAAACUGGGUCUAAUACCGGAUAGGACGAUGGUUUGGAUGCCAUUGUGGAAAGUUUUUUCGGUGUGGGAUGAGCUCGCGGCCUAUCAGCUUGUUGGUGGGGUAAUGGCCUACCAAGGCGUCGACGGGUAGCCGGCCUGAGAGGGUGUACGGCCACAUUGGGACUGAGAUACGGCCCAGACUCCUACGGGAGGCAGCAGUGGGGAAUAUUGCACAAUGGGCGCAAGCCUGAUGCAGCGACGCCGCGUGGGGGAUGACGGCCUUCGGGUUGUAAACUCCUUUCGCUAGGGACGAAGCGCAAGUGACGGUACCUGGAGAAGAAGCACCGGCUAGCUACGUG
rnacentral:rRNA from 1 species